GGGGGCGUAGCUCAGUGGUAGAGCGUGUGCUUAGCGUGCACGAGGUCCUGGGUUCAAUUCCCAGCGCCUCCA